UGCCCUUUAAUGUUCCAUUCAUAUUAGCAUUUUACAGUACAUUAUAAAGAUUUGUAUAUGACUAAAAUCAAGAUCAGUAUCACAGGAACCCCAUAAUGGCCCUUCCUCGGUAUAUUAUUCACAUAAAUAUACAUACGUAUGAGUGGCAAUAGUGGCCCAAAGGUCAGAAAGUCUGUAAGAUGCAUAUCAUGCAUUGUGUAAAGAGUAUACAGUAUUUGAUGAUGUUAGCAUGCAAAACUUGUUAAUAUGUUCUUUAAAAUCCUUACUGGUUGUGGUGGAAAACAACAUUUGUUAUUACAUAAUAUAGAAUGAAAAAAUACCCAUACAAAACAUUUUUGUAUGGGUCUUAUAGGUAUUAUUUCCACUUAAUAUAAAUAAAUUGGAUAUAUUUUUAUGUAAUCUUGUUUAGUAAAUUAUUGUGUUACUAAGGUAAGUCUAUUUGUUACUGUUAACAGUAUUUUUACAUUAAUAGUUCUAUCAAUGUAUUCUUUAAAUUCUAAAGUAACUUAAACCAGCUUAAAAAAAAUAAAACAAAACAAACAAAAUAAACAAAUCCCUUUAAAACAAAGCAGACAUCUGGCACACUGGCAUUCUAUUUAGGGACAGCAUUGUAAUGACCCUGGUGUAUAUCAGGCAUGAUUAGUAUCAGUAUAGACAUGUCUUGCCUCUACUUUCUCAGAGGGUGAAAUGUGCCUUAGGGGAAUCAUGGACAAAUUAGUUACCAUGAAGAUACAAUAUGCCAGGAUGUUAUUUAAAAGACUGUACUACUAUUACCCUCAAAACAAAUGUAUGUGUGUUAUUUCUUAUUGACUUUGCAACUCUGAAGAUGUAAUUAAUUUAAGAUCCUAUUUUCCUUGACAGGACUGUCUGUGUCUUUGGAGUUUUAAAAAAAAAGAUUGAAGAAGCUAGUGUUGAAUCAUGACCUCGGCACGUCCCUGACUCCGUCAUGGUUCUCCCUCCUGCACUUGGAUUACCUGCCAGCAUUCGGCACCCGCUGCUCUCAUUCGCAGCACCGCUCCUUGCAUCUCAACCCGCUCGCACAACUGGUCGGUACUCGCAACUUGGUUCACUCUAUAAAAUCCUAACACUAAGUCUACAGUAGUCUGCCUAUCUCUUAUUAAAAAAAUGACUGCAGAAAUGCAUUUAGUAUGUAAAAAGGUGUCAGUAUUCAUUAAGCCUCCUUCUAUGAGUUCAUUCGGUAUAUAUUUGUGUGUGUGCAUACUUAUGUGUAUAUUUCUUUGCAUAAAAAAAUGCAUUGUAAUGUCAAAAUAAUGUAUAAUGUCUGACUUGUGGCCUCAUAUACUGUACUGUACUCAGUAAACAGUGCAAUUUCAGGAGUUGGCAUUAGUGGUGUACGGAUUGAGAAAUUCUUCACCCACACCCGACCCUAACCCACCCUAUCCCAACCCACAAAUGUGCCCCAUUUAAGGCAAAGUGCACAGCACAGUUGCACCAAUUUGAUAAGUUGGAUGCAAUUCACAUGAUUACUAUUGCAUUAGAUUCUGGGGGGGGGAGAUGCAUUGUGGGAAAAAAUACAUGCUGAUGAUGAUGCCUGCAAUGAUGGUGGGAAUUUGUGAGAAAAGAUGCAUUGUGGGGAAAAAAUGUCAAUAGCACCCACAAUGAAGGUGGAAUACUGGGAAGAAAAAGGGGGAAUAUGGUAAAAACAUACCAACUAGUGAUAUGCGGCUCCUGCAUCUUCGGGUCGUGACCUCGCAUUGCCGGUUUCCGACUAUUAAAUUUUUAGACCUGCCACAGGUCUAUAAAUUUAGGCCCACCCCGCCCCGCAGAGAUGUCACAAAUGGGGCUGGGGAGAGCGCAAGUCUAUAAAUUUAGGUGAGAAGACAGUAUUGCUACAGUAGAUUCGCAACCCGAAGAUUUUAUGCAGGAGCUGGCCAGAACCCACCUCAAUCCAGAGUGGAAGUACUGUUCAGAGCUGAGUAUAGCUAUGCAGAAGUGCAAAGAGUGCCUUUGGUCACAAGUACAGAUUAAAAUGAGAUGGGUGGAUGUGGACUUCUUGGAAAAACAGCAGAAUUUGGGUAAAAAUAAAUAAUAUGAUGAAAGUAUCCAAAAUUGCACUUUUAUGUAUGCAUCAAUGUAAGAGAGUAACCCCUAGCAAUAUGUUCUAUAUAGCUAUUUAAAAAAUAAUGAAGCACAAUAUAAGGGAAGCAUGACAUCUUUGGAUCGUAUUAUUAUUUUAUAUUAUUUUUAGGUACUCUGAAGACAAGCGGUAAAAGUAUAGGAAAUUCUGGGGAAAUUUGUAAGUCACAUAUUGCACAAGUCCCCUUUCUCUAGGUCUUGAUUGGCCAAUUUAAAUCUCAGUAGGCAUCUGCUUGGGUUUUUUGCUACUCUUUCAAAACUAGUGAAGUGUCCCUCCCUUAUGCCGUACUAGCUUUUUGGCAGUUUCGAAACAAGGUGGUGGCGGGGCCGAGUCCAGGAAGCAAUGAGUAUGGUUAUGCAUUUAAUGUGGGUGCAAAUAUUAACAUCAUUCAUUAGGCACUUUUGUCCAAACAUGCUCAUAUGCAGUUUUGCAUAUUUGAAAAGCAUCAUUGUAGCCAUCUGAUCUAAUGAAUUGUCUUCAAAUGUACCUGACAUUGAGGGGCCUUGAAGACAAAAGUUCUCUGAACAUAGCAGUAGUUCCAGGGUUUCCACAGCUGGUUCCAUCAGUAGUCAAACAAGACUUGUGGCAAAUGAACUGCACCCUAAAGGACGUUUAUGCCAGAAAUGACAAAAUGACUAAAGAUGUUGUCACAUGCAAGUUAUUUUAAAAAAAUGUAUGCACAGUUGUUUGCAUUUUGAUGCAACUUCCUUGUAGAAUAUAUAUAAGAUAUAGAGAUAAACAUACUUACAGUAGCAUAUAGCAAAUAAUCUAGCAUGUGAUAAACUGUAGUUCACCAAUUAGUAUUGUAUUUUUACCAAUAUUGUAAACUUUUUACCAGCUCUCCAAGGCUCUCCAGAGAUAAGCAAGCAACCCAAUAAAAAAAAAUGACGACAAAAACAUUGUGUAAAGUUAAAAGUAUGUAACUGAGCCACCAAGAAAAGUAUAACAGUGUUGUUGCUUAUGCUGGGACUAUAGUGCUUUUUUAUUGUGUGAUAUAAGUGGACCCAGUUUUUCUUUCAUGCGAUGAAUGAAUUGCCAUGGCUUUGGUAAUGUACAAUAACAGAUGUUGCAUCCAAUAAUUGCUAAACAUAUGAUGAGCUGCACUGCACCAUUUAAUUGUGUCUCUGGAGACGCCUCUACACUGAGUUAAUUAGUCCUAGCUGCCUCUUGACUAGGUUUGGCUUCUGGUUAUGUGAAACCAUUUUAACAGCCAGAGUAAUACCUGUGUAAAAAAUAGAUCUGUGCAAGCAAACAGAUCUGUUGUAGCAAGUAGAUCGCUAGUGCCUAUAUAAUUCAGCUACACUUCAAAUGCCAGUUGUGGUAAAAAUUAUAUUUUUAUAUUAACCCACUUGGUGCUAAUGUGACAUAUGUCAGCCUACUCUGCAUAAUUUGAUUCCUGGCCACCUCUGUGACCAAAUAGUUUGAUCAUUGAAACAAAAAAAUUUAAUCUGUAAAGGAGAUUGUGCUUCAUUUUAAAUACACAUUAGGGCAGCAUUAUAUGAAUUGGAUUUAGCCACAAUCUUCUCCAAUGAGUUUUAUCGUUUUAGACUUUUCCAGAUAGAUGAUGGUUUAGUGAACCUAAGUAAGCUAGAAAAUGGGAAGAGUCUCUCCUUCACUGUGGUCAGCUGAAUCCUUCUUGUGAGACCAAUGUAGGUCUUUCAGCUUAUGGGAACAAAGAAAACAGUGGCAACACAGAACCCAUAUUAAAACUGUUUCAGGUUAAAAACACAAACUCUUGACAAGGGUGUAUCCAUCCUUAAUCAAAGGCUAUUAAUGAUAAGGUUACAACUAAUUAAAGGGGACCUGUCAUAAAAUGUUGAAUAAUAAAAGUUAUUUUAUUACUUUUUUUAUUAGCACACCCAUGUCCAUUAUAAAGGUAUUUGAAUAUCUCAGCUGUCAAUCAUAUAAUUCCUGCUUUGCCUCUAUGCCUUAGGCAGACAAUUAUAUAUAUAUAUUAUGAGACGGCAUGUGUUCAUGCUAUAUAUUGUUUUAAACAAUGCCUGCACUUCAACAUCUUAGGUAUGCUUUUGAUCCACCACCGCACAGCAUUAGGGGGAAAGGCAAAAUGGCACUUUAAACUGCACUAGUGUUAAUAAAUGAUGCAAGGAACAAAACUCAGUGGAAGCAGGAUACAUAAAUUAAAUAAUGAUAGAUAACCUGUACAAUCAGGCUGUAUAUCCCAGGAGCUCAGGUGAAGAUGAUUUCAGGAAAACAUCAAACAUUUUAUUGUCCUAAAUAGAAAAAAAAAAGUGAAUUCAACUUGCUUCCGUAACUAUUCAUCAAUAUUUUCUAUUGAAUCCUGUUGCUGUUAUGUGAAAGUAAACUCUUUUUUCGUAAAGAAAAACCUAGGGAAUGCAGCCCACCUGGGGAACAUAAGGAAAAGAAGUUAUAGAGGACAAUCGGCAAACAGCAUUUGGAACAACCUUUGGCCUGCCUUCCGUUCCUGCUGGUUUUCUGCUUGCCCUUGAACUCAGAUGUGGUUUCACUACUCCUCUCUCGACCCCCUGGUACCUAACUUUGGUUGAGCCUCACUGGCUUCUCUCCACUCACGGCUCCCCCUUUAUCAUCCUUGGGUGGGUUCUGUGUGGUGUGAGCCGCUUGUGGGUCCUUUGUUAUCCAGUAAAGAUCCAUCACUUGAUUAUCCGGUAAGCCUUACAGUCAAAUCGUGGAUUCUAGUUUGGUCAGACUUUUUUUAUUUAAAAAAUCUGAAAAAUUUGGAUUUUGAUAAAUAACCCCCAUAGUGUUAAGAAGAAGGACAGUCCUGCCAGUGGAAACAAUCCUUAUUAUUUAAUGCAUGCCGCUUGGUUUGCAAGUUGUUUUUAUAGCAUUUUUUUAAUGUAAUUAAAAAAUACAUGGAACUCGUAACACGUAAUUUAACAUUCAAUAUUAUUGCUGGAUUAUUCCUUUAAAUCAAUACAUUUACUUGCUCUUCAGUUAAAUUCACAGUUUGUUGUAAUUUUUAUAUUUUAGAUUAUUUACUUUCUGAAAUAUCUAUAUUUUCACUUUCUUUUACUUAACUCCCCAUGGAGAGCUGAUGUUCCUUUAUAGAUUUUCCAUUAGGGGAGUCUAAGUCUAAAUCCUACACACUGUCUAGAGAUUGAAUGAACUGAAACUAUAUUUAUAGUUUGGCUUUUAUUCUUUCUAAAAGCAAAAUGUGUGUUUGGACAUGUUUAUGAAAGGGCACUUUGCCAAUUUUAGAUUUUGCUAUAAAAUUAUACAGAUCUUUGCCAACUUCUCCAAUAAAUCAAAAUGCAAAAGGCAUAUUUAAGGUGUGUUUCUGUUGAAUGAAACACUUUCCAUUUAAUGGAACUGCAUUAUAACUGCAUUAUACAGUUGGUUUACUUACUCAUUUGAUGGAUAAAAAGUGGGAAAUAUCAGAACUGGGUUUAAACAGCAGUUAACAUUAAAGGGAUACUGUCAUGGGAAAAUUAUUUUU